rnacentral:lncRNA from 10 species
CAGGGACCUAGGUGAGGACAGGUAUUUCUGUUUUCCUGCCCAAAGGUUGCAUUUUCCAAGACCACCCUGUCCCGCCACGCCCCCACCCUGUGCCUAUAAAAAUUCCAAGACCCUAGCAGGCAGAAACACAAGCAGCGGGUCGCCGAGAGGAACACACUGGCAAAAGAGCACACAGGCGGCUGGAGGUGGAGAAGACAGGAAGAACACAUCGACAGGCACCAGCAGACGCCGGCAAGCCAUUGACCUGUGAACAACAAGGACUGGAGCCUGGCCGAGGCGGUCAGAGGAGUGUCCAGCUACUGAGCGGCCAACUCCAGGGGAAAACCACCUUCCCGCUCCAUGCCCCUUCUGGGUCCCCAUCAUCUGCUGAGAGUUUCCACUGUCAAUAAAACUUUGCAUUCAUUCUCCAAGCCACACAGAGUCAAGAACCCGGGAUACAGAAAGCCCUCUGUCCUUGCUAUAAGGCAAAAGGUCUAAUUGAGCUGACUAACACAAGCCGCGCGCAGACGGCAGAACUCAAAGAGCACACUGUAACACAGGCCCACUGGGGCUUCGGCUGUAAAACAUUAGCCACUAGAUAGUGCUGUGGAGUCGGAGCCCCGCAACCCUCCAUCUGCAUGCUCCCUCCAGGAGUAUGAGCAGCAUGGCACUGAAGAAGCGAGCCACACCCCGUUGCACACCCUGAGAGGGGCAUAGGGAACUUUUCCCAUUUCACCUAGAUGACUAAGUGAAGACUAUGCUGGUGCUAUUUAUACAUAUUGGCUUAUUGCAUUCUGCUCAAUGAACAAAGAAAGCAAGCCUAACAAAGUCUAUUGAAGAUUUACAUUCAGAUUGUGUCAUCAUAUGUGUAAGAUGCCUGGACAGAAGUCAGUUACUAAGUAUGUAUAAUUUCAGAGAACCUGUA